rnacentral:rRNA from 1 species
GGCCCGCACAAGCGGUGGAGCAUGUGGUUUAAUUCGAAGCAACGCGAAGAACCUUACCAAUUCUUGACAUCCUUCUGACCGACUCUUAAUCGAGUCUUUCCUUCGGGACAGAAGUGACAGGUGGUGCAUGGUUGUCGUCAGCUCGUGUCGUGAGAUGUUGGGUUAAGUCCCGCAACGAGCGCAACCCUUAUCUUUAGUAGCCAGCAUUUCGGAUGGGAACUCUAGAGAGACUGCCGGGGACAACUCGGAGGAAGGUGGGGAUGACGUCAAAUCAUCAUGCCCCUUAUGAAUUGGGCUACACACGUGCUACAAUGGCGGAUACAGAGGGAAGCGAAACCGUGAGGUGAAGCAAACCCCAUAAAGUCCGUCCCAGUUCGGAUUGUAGUCUGCAACUCGACUACAUGAAGUUGGAAUCGCUAGUAA